rnacentral:rRNA from 1 species
GACGAACGCUGGCGGCGUGCUUAACACAUGCAAGUCGAACGGAAAGGCCUGCUUUCCCUUGUGGAUUGCGGGUACUCGAGUGGCGAACGGGUGAGUAUCACGUGAGUGAUCUGCCCCCAACUUGGGUAUAAGCCUGGGAAACUGGGUCUAAUUCCCGAUAGGACUGCAGGGUGGUGCCUGUGGUGGAAAACGAUUUUCUAGUGGUUGGGGAUGAGCUCGCGGCCUAUCAGCUUGUUGGUGGGGUAAUGGCCUACCAAGGCGGCGACGGGUAGCCGGCCUGAGAGGGUGGACGGCCACAUUGGGACUGAGAUACGGCCCAGACUCCUACGGGAGGCAGCAGUGGGGAAUAUUGCACAAUGGGCGGAAGCCUGAUGCAGCGACGCCGCGUGGGGGAUGACGGCCUUCGGGUUGUAAACUCCUUUCGACCGCGAGGAAGCCACCUGGUUGGAAGGGUGGUGACGGUAGUGGUAGAAGAAGCACCGGCUAACUACGUG